rnacentral:rRNA from 1 species
ACCGGCAGCUCAAGUGGUGGCCAUUUUUAUUGGGCCUAAAGCGUUCGUAGCCGGUUUGAUAAGUCUCUGGUGAAAUCCCGCAGCUUAACUGUGGGACUUGCUGGAGAUACUAUUAGACUUGAGGUCGGGAGAGGUUAGGGGUACUCCCAGGGUAGGGCUGAAUUGCAAGAAGCCGGGGAGGACCACCGGGGGCGAAGGCGGCGAACUGGAACAACCCUCCCGGUUGGUAAUGAUAGCCAGGGGCGCGCGCCG